UAAAAGUAUAGGAUGCACCUAGUUCAUAAAUAUUUUUUCGCAAAUCUAUUAUUAUUUUCGUCGUUUUCCUGCGCGCAGAGAAUGUGGCAAUGUGGCGUACAUGGAUUUUGCAGGCCAACAAAUGCCAACUGCGGAAUGUUUUUUGAGAGUGUCUUUUGUGCCGCGCCCCUUAAAUGUUGCUACUUAUUUCGUUAACAAUUAAAUUUUAAA